GAUGAACGCUGGCGGCGUGCCUAAUACAUGCAAGUCGAGCGAACGGACGAGAAGCUUGCUUCUCUGAUGUUAGCGGCGGACGGGUGAGUAACACGUGGAUAACCUACCUAUAAGACUGGGAUAACUUCGGGAAACCGGAGCUAAUACCGGAUGAUAUUUUGAACCGCAUGGUUCAAAAGUGAAAGACGGUCUUGCUGUCACUUAUAGAUGGAUCCGCGCUGCACUAGCUAGUUGGUAAGGUAACGGCUUACCAAGGCAACGAUGCAUAGCCGACCUGAGAGGGUGAUCGGCCACACUGGAACUGAGACACGGUCCAGACUCCUACGGGAGGCAGCAGUAGGGAAUCUUCCGCAAUGGGCGAAAGCCUGACGGAGCAACGCCGCGUGAGUGAUGAGGGUCUUCGGAUCGUAAAACUCUGUUAUUAGGGAAGAACAUAUGUGUAAGUAACUGUGCACAUCUUGACGGUACCUAAUCAGAAAGCCACGGCUAACUACG
rnacentral:rRNA from 1 species